rnacentral:rRNA from 1 species
UACAGAGGGUGCGAGCGUUAAUCGGAAUUACUGGGCGUAAAGCGUGUGUAGGCUGCUACAUAAGUCGGAUGUGAAAGCCCCGGGCUCAACCCGGGAAGUGCACUCGAUACUGCGUAGCUUGAGUCUCGGAGAGGUUGGUGGAAUUCUCGGUGUAGAGGUGAAAUUCGUAGAUAUCGAGAGGAACACCGGUGGCGAAGGCGGCCAACUGGACGAAGACUGACGCUGAGACACGAAAGCGUGGGGAGCAAACAGG